CCUUUUUGAAAGGUCACUGGUUCCAGUGUUGUACCGUUCAAUAACUUUAGCAUGAACCAAAUAGCUGAAAUAAAAACAAGCUCCAUAAAAACCAAAUAGCUAAACAAGUCCGUUAUAUACGUUCAGUGUCAUGUUUAGCAAGAACAGCUAGGGAAUUCUGCAAAUGGGUUGUCCCUAAAAAACCCGCAGAAAAAAUUCCCGCAAACUCAGAAGCAGAUCGCAGACCAAGAAAAUCAAAGAGAGUGUGGAAUAUGUUCAUUCCCAGAAGAAAUGAGGUGUGAAGAUCUUAAUGAUGAGCUGGUACAAGGGAUUACUGAUAUGUAAUUUAUUUUGGGCAUUCCACUUGACAACUUAGUUGAUGCAAGGAUCGUAAGAAAGUUUUUAGAAAUUUUUUGCGAACUGCUGAAACGAUUACAAAGCUUUCAGGACAUGUAUGUUGUCAUGUGGUGCGCACAGACAAAAUAUAUGCGAGGGGCUAGGGGUAGAGAGAUGGGGUGGGUGCAGUCAUGUUCUCUUUCUAAAUCCUUCCUUUCCCAAUUCGCGUCUCUGCUUGUUGGCGUUCGUCUUCCUUCUCAAGAUGGAGAGAGAUUGCCUUUGGCUGUUAAUGAGUUGGGCACGUGAUCUUUACUCUCAGAUGUGCUUGAAGAUUUACACAUUGUCAUCUUGACAUCAUGUGUCUCCAGACAAUCCUGUUUUGAAUGAAUGGUGAAUUGGUGAUAGACUUUCAAAUCUGCUUUUGUGGUCGAAAGAGAACAGAAGUGCUCCUAAUGCUGCUCACCAAGGUGCAAAAUCAUCAGGAAGCAUUUUUCCGACUCUUUCAAAGCCCCUCCGGUGAAUGAUGAAGCAAUUUGGUUGGUUUCGGAGAUGGUGGUUUUAAGAUUAUGGGCCUUUUUAUUCAAGGCUGAAGCAAUUGUGUUGCUGAGCUUCUCCCACAUUCCACCACCACGCAGGUAGACUUUUCCAAACACGUGAAUUACCAUCGUCUCAAGCUAUGUUGUAUUUUUCACAAUACUCACUUUGAAAAGUUUUAGAUUAUUCUAGAGCCAUAGUUAUGGAAGGAAAAAGGAUUUUCCGCCUAUGACACCCAAGAAAGUGUGGGAAGGUUGUUGAUUAUCUCAUUGACCCUGGCCUUUGUUGCCGGCACAAGUGGUGGAGAUCCCUAAUCACUUUAUGUAAGUAAAGUCUUUGUCUUUGUGCACAUUUCACACUGAGUUGUUAAUGGGAUUGUUCUUUAACCAGACAAUUGUUUCCCAAAAUCUGUAUUUAUGUCGUUGCCGUGCAUUGAGCUAUCUCAUGAAUCUUAUGUUUUCAGUAAUUCUUUUGUGUUGCCAUGUGAUCUUCAAACAGAUGCACCUGCAUUCUUUUCCAGAUUUAUGGAACAUAGAGAAAAGUUUCAGGUUUUCCUUUUUCUUUGUUAACAACACUACUAGAAAUUUGGCUAUAAGCCACCCUUUUCAUUCAGUGGCUAUUGUCAAGUGUUGCCACUCACAUUGGUGGCAAACCUCUAUGCCCACCAAGCACCCACUAAACUAGAGAGUGUGGCCUAUGUAGAGGACUCUAUUGUAACAAUGACUACCAAUAUUUCAUUGGUGCCUUUCCUGCAGUGCCACCCUUAUUCACAUCGGUGGCAAAAUUGCAAAAUAAUAUUAAAAAAAGAGGAUGCCCUGUGUGGGCACCCAAAUUUGAAUAGGAAUAUUUCCUUUUUUUUUUCUUUUUUUUUUUUUGUGAGGAAACAAAUUGUAAGAUCUUUGAUAUAAGAAUAUACUACAAAUUUGCAUAACUGAUCUUUAAUACAA